rnacentral:piRNA from 1 species
UAUGCUGUGUAUCCUUGGCCUGCCUGC